rnacentral:tRNA from 1 species
UAAGACCCUAGUAAAAAAAUUACAUGAGUCCGUCAGACUUAAAUUGCCAACUAUUCAGGCGGGCCUUA